AUUUCCAUUCACUCUUACAAUAGACUACUAAUCAAAACACUAUAACACAAAUUUUUCUCAACUUAUAAAAUUUAAAGUACUAAAAAGGAAACACCAAUAAUUUAUAGUAGUGAAUAACUCACGUACCUUGUGCAUUAUGGUUUUACAAGCACACAAUUAAAUAUACUUUCCCGAAUUCUAUGCGAGCUGCUCCCUUAUAGCUAAGAGCCCACUACUAGUUGUAGCACUAACUUUAGAAAAUAAGGUAGCAGGGGCUACAUACCACACGCGCUAGAAAAUUGCUGGUUAUUAGUAAAAUUUAUACAUUAAAACAUAUAAUUCUAUUAUAGUGUAAGAUCUUAGAGGAUAAGCCCUAAGAUCUCAAGCCAAUAAUAAACAUAAAGAACCUCAUAGGCCUAAAAACAGCCAUCUUCAAUACUUUACCGUAAUGAUCACAUAAUAUAUAAGUGACCUGCCUCAAAAAACUAAUAUUUAAGAAAAACAGAAGUCUUAAUUUAUAUGUAAAAAUAAGUAUUAACCAACUAACUCUACUUCCAC
rnacentral:rRNA from 1 species